rnacentral:rRNA from 1 species
UACGUAGGCAGCGAGCGUUGUUCGGAGUUACUGGGCGUAAAGGGUGUGUAGGCGGCUCUUUAAGUUUGGUGUGAAAUCUCCCGGCUCAACUGGGAGGGUGCGCCGAAUACUGAGGGACUAGAGUGCGGGAGAGGAAAGUGGAAUUCCUGGUGUAGCGGUGAAAUGCGUAGAUAUCAGGAGGAACACCGGUGGUGUAGACGGCUUUCUGGACCGUAACUGACGCUGAGACACGAAAGCGUGGGUAGCAAACAGG